rnacentral:snoRNA from 1 species
AUCCCAUGAUGAGGGCACUUCCGCAAUAGCUCCUUGAAUCUUUCCCAUGCUUCAUACAAUGACUCCCCAUCUGCUUGUUGGAAAGAAGUAAUGUCGUCCCUUAGCUU